GUCCAGCCAUUUCCUUUACCCAUAAUGCAACAUGUUGCGGCCAAUCAGGUUCAGCCAAUCAGAAGCCGGGAAUAUGAAUAUAUGCGAUAUGCACGUUUGUUUGAUGAUGAUGAUGAUGAUGAGGGAGGGAUACUCUGACGUCGCGGCAGGACCGUGUCUUGAUGCGUGUUGGUUAGAAGUUGUGCCGUAGCUGAUGGAAACGUUUAGAGGCUUCAAACAGAGAAGCCCCCCAUCGGUGUCCAAGGAAAUGGAGGUGACCUGUCAGCCGCCCCGCUGACAGACCAAAUUGAUGGACGAUGGCAGCUUGGUGUGGAGCUGGGCUGUAGGCUGAUUCCCGUAAGCCGGAAGUUUGUGACCCUCCUGUGGCCAGGAAGAUGGAGGGAGUCGCUAAGCGUGUGCGGGGCGGGGCCGACAUGAGUCCAUGUCCGCUGUCAGCCAUUCUGCGAGCUUUGGAGUGUUGGCAGUGCUCUUCCUCUUCCUUAUAGCCAUACUGCCAGCCCCCUGGGAGGACCGACCAAGUAAACGUCCAGGGGGACUGGACAGGGGUGGUGUGCCCCUUGAGAGAUGGUGCUAGAACAGAUUGGAAGUGAUUUGGACCACACCGGAGCACAAGCUAGGAGGAAACAUGGGCUGGACACCCACCCACACUGAAAGCUGACAGGCAGCAUAUUGGGCCACCCCCAACACCAAGAAGGACCCAAGAUGGCCCCCACCAAUCAGAAUUCAGCCUCAGAUGCACCUGACACCUCCUACUUUAUCGAAACCGUUGUUUUCGACUCUUCGUCUUUAUUUGCACAUCGGUGUGUCUGCACUGCAGUUUGUUGUCGUUUUAAGAGUAAAUCUGUGAUGAAACUAAUGCAGAGCAUCGUUUCCUGUGUCAGUUUACUUGUGAAUUAUUGCCAUUUCAGUGUAUACGUAUGUUUCAGGCUCUGUACUCUGAGUGUAAUUAUUAGUUAUCAGACCAUUAAGGCCAUCAUGAGCCAAGGAUUGGUCACCUUUCCUAGAUGACCGACUCUGUGCCUUUUCCCCAGCCUGUGUCUGUCUCUCUCUGCAUAUCAGUUUAUUAAAAUAAACGUUGACAUCCAA